GGUCCUAUAACUCAGUGGUCAGAGUAGCUGCCUCAUAAGCAGAAGGUCGAGGGAUCAUAACCCUCUAGGACCA
rnacentral:tRNA from 1 species